GCGUGUGAGCCGCAGUUUCUGCUUUGCGGAGGAUUGCAGCUGCUACUGCAGAUUGGCACCUGCCAUUCCCCCCAAACGGUGGGAACCUGCUUUGAGAAGGCGCUGUCCUGCCUUUCUGGUGUCUUUUCGUUUGAAGAGAAUUUAAAAUAACACAUAUGACUUGUGUUAUAUCUCCAUUGGACAACACUGGUCCAGAGUUGUUUAUGAUUCCAGCUCCACAGUGCACUGUUGAAUGCACCAUGGUGAGGUCUCUAUAGAAGACAUAAUUAAUGAUCCACAACACUGUCCCUGGCUUACCCAAGAGUAUUGCCCUGUGGUGGUGUUCAGGAACCAAGACCAGGACUGGAGCCAGAAGGAGGCCUUCUCUUCCAUCUACCCACAGCCACCCUUCUUGUUUCUGAGAUCAAUAUAAGGGCUGCGAUUUUGGAAAGUGACAUAUGGAUGAAAGUGAAUCUGCAUGGACAGAACCUGAUCAUGCCAGAAGGGAGCUGGGCCUUGGAGGAGGAGAUGAGUCAGGAAGACCCAGGAAUACUCAGCUCCUGACCCUU